rnacentral:rRNA from 1 species
UACGGAAGGCAGCAGUGGGGAAUAUUGCACAAUGGGCGCAAGCCUGAUGCAGCCAUGCCGCGUGUAUGAAGAAGGCCUUCGGGUUGUAAAGUACUUUCAGUCGUGAGGAAGGUGUUAAGGUUAAUAACCUUAGCAAUUGACGUUAGCGACAGAAGAAGCACCGGCUAACUCCGUGCCAGCAGCCGCGGUAAUACGGAGGGUGCGAGCGUUAAUCGGAAUUACUGGGCGUAAAGGGCACGCAGGCGGUUAAUUAAGUUGGAUGUGAAUCCCCGGGCUUAACCUGGGAAUGGCAUUCAAGACUGGUUAGCUAGAGUCUUGUAGAGGGGGUAGGAAUUCCAUGUGUAGCGGUGAAAUGCGUAGAGAUGUGGAGGAAUACCGGUGGCGAAGGCGGCCCCUGGACAAAGACUGACGCUCAUGUGCGAAAGCGUGGGGAGCAAACAGGGAUUAGAUACC